AACGAACGCUGGCGGCAUGCCUAACACAUGCAAGUCGAACGAGACCUUCGGGUCUAGUGGCGCACGGGUGCGUAACGCGUGGGAACCUGCCCUUAGGUUCGGAAUAACUCCCCGAAAGGGGUGCUAAUACCGGAUAAUGUCUUCGGACCAAAGAUUUAUCGCCUUUGGAUGGGCCCGCGUUGGAUUAGCUAGUUGGUAGGGUAAAAGCCUACCAAGGCGACGAUCCAUAGCUGGUCUGAGAGGAUGAUCAGCCACACCGGGACUGAGACACGGCCCAGACUCCUACGGGAGGCAGCAGUGGGGAAUAUUGGACAAUGGGCGAAAGCCUGAUCCAGCAAUGCCGCGUGAGUGAUGAAGGCCUUAGGGUUGUAAAGCUCUUUUACCCGGGAUGAUAAUGACAGUACCGGGAGAAUAAGCUCCGGCUAGCUCCGUG
rnacentral:rRNA from 1 species